rnacentral:lncRNA from 1 species
ACGAAAUUUCAAUAUUGUUCCUUUAUUAAUAUUCUUGAUUUUAUUUACAAACUAUAGUAGUGACUAGUGCACUCAAAGAUAACCAUACAUAAACCAUGUGUAAAAAGAAAAUGUACACAUAGAAAUUUCAACCAAAAAAAAUCUCCUUUAUUAAUAGAAAAAAAAGCAUUCGAUCGAGAUAUUCCCGUUCUAUGUGUGCGCAAAGUUUCAACGUAGAGGACAGUACGCAAGUACGUAAUUUGAAAAUUACCCGUUAUUUUUUUUCCCCACUGGCACUGCUGUGCGCAUCGGACUUUUGCUGAUUUUCGUUCAUCAAACGUCUCCAAAUCACACCAAAAUGUCUUCCAGCAAUUAUUCUGGUGAUGAAAUUUCAUCAAGAGAUAGUGACUCCUCAUACUCCGAUGCCUCCUUAUCCCAUUUUAGUGAUUCUUCCCAAGAAAAUGAGCCCGACAAAUGUUCAAAAUAUUACUAGUCCCACUCGUAGAGAAACGAGUUUGUUGUCGAAUUACGGACCAUCGACGAGCGGAACUGGCCCCAGAAAACAGCUGAAAAGGAAUCAGAAAACACAACCUGCUAAAGCACCACGCAAGAACUUAAGAAGAAGAGCAAGCCUUCCAAGUCCGAGAGUGUGUCUGCGAGAUCAAUUGAAACUAAUCAAGCUACAAUGUACAUGUAACGUACAAUCACCAUUCGAUGCCUGUGAACAGCAUGACCAACAUCUGUAUCCUUUACAUUAGUAUUUGUUUCCAUUUUAUUAUGUAAUUCUUAUGUCUAAUCAUUGAGAUUCAUAGGCAAGUACAACAUGUAUGUGUACACAAUGAGUGCCUGCAUAUUGUGAAGAUAAAGGACCGUAAGACCAUUACUUAUGAUACAUGGUAAUGAUGGUAUACUUUGUAAAACUAUUUGAAAAUAGUAGCAUGUAAGUCUGUCAUUUUCUUGUUUAUAUAUAUCUCAAUGACAUGACAUGUCAUUGAUUUUGUAGUAAGUGUUUCUAGAUUAUGAUGAUUGUAUUAAGAUUUUGACAGUUCAAUUGAGAUUGAGAAAAUUAUGUAACAUGUCAACUGUACAAUAGAGCAUGCAUGCAUUGUUGAAAAAUCUGUUUUAUGAUUUAUUUUAUUUUGUUAUCUUUGUAAAUAACGAGAAUUUUUUUUUUACUUGUCAUGAUUUUCUUGAGGUUUGAAAAUGUUAUUACAUUAUUAAGAGCACUUUGCAAUUAAAUUGUAAUAAAAGAGACAGAAAACAACACUCUCAUGUCAAGAAUACUGCUUUAUUUGGUUACUAGUGAGGGAGAGAGCUUGUGAUUGCCUGGCAUAUCCACAUCGGCUCAGUAAUAGUCCUGAAACUCACCUGAAUACUUUAUUUGAACAAAAAUAGAAAGCUACAUUCUAGGUGGAUGAUAUUUUUUUAAGGCGGAGGCAUAUAGGAGACGCAGUCGCAUUUGUCUUGUUUUUUUUUUUUUAGAGUAUAAUCGUAGCAAACCAUGAACAACUCUAUUACUACAACAUGUACACUACAGUACUUAACCAAAGAUUGUAAAUAUCAGUUAAGUUCUUUUAUUUAUUUGCUUACAUGAACACACAUACUAUACUAAACUCAUGUCAUUGUGUUUACCUCUCGAAAAUAAAGUACAUGUAUUUUAUUUGACACGUUCCCUUUUAUUCUUUUUGUUUGUUACAGUCCACUGCCAUUAUAACGAGGUGCUCGGGACCAAGCCAAUUUCCUUGUUAAAAUGAAAUCAUGUUAUACUCAAGUUACUGAACACAUUGGUUUGUUUAAAAUUGGGACUGAUGAGAAUUGCCUGAUAAUAAAAUCUUGGUGUAUCCAUGUUCGUUAUAAUAGGA